GACGAACGCUGGCGGCGUGCUUAACACAUGCAAGUCGAACGGAAAGGCCCUGCUUUUGUGGGGUGCUCGAGUGGCGAACGGGGGAGUAUCACGUGAGUAACCUGCCCUUGACUUUGGGAUAACAUCAGGAAACUGGGGCUAAUACCGGACAGGAGCUCCUGCUGCAUGGGGGGGGUGGGAAAGUUUCGGCGGUUGGGGAUGGACUCGCGGCUUAUCAGCUUGUUGGUGGGGUAGUGGCUUACCAAGGCUUUGACGGGUAGCCGGCCUGAGAGUGUGACCGGCCACAUUGGGACUGGGGUACGGCCCAGACUCCUACGGGGGGCAGCGGUGGGGAAUAUUGCACAAUGGGCGGAAGCCGUAUACAGCGUCUCCGCGUGCGGGAUGACUGCCUUCGGGUUGUAAACCGCUUUCGCCUGUGACGCAGCGUGAGUGACGGUAAUGAGUAAAGAAGCACCGGCUAACUACGUG
rnacentral:rRNA from 1 species